rnacentral:rRNA from 1 species
UUGGUUAAGUUAGAAAGGGCGCACGGUGGAUGCCUUGGCACUAGGAGCCGAAGAAGGACGGGACUAACACCGAUAUGCUUUGGGGAGCUGUACGUAAGCGUUGAUCCAGAGAUUUCCGAAUGGGGGAACCCACUAUCUUUAGUCGGAUAGUAUCCUUACGUGAAUACAUAGCGUGAGGAAGGCAGACCCAGGGAACUGAAACAUCUAAGUACCUGGAGGAAGAGAAAGAAAAAUCGAUUUCCUGAGUAGCGGCGAGCGAAACGGAAAGAGCCCAAACCAAGAAGCUUGCUUCUUGGGGUUGUAGGACACUCUAUACGGAGUUACAAAAGAAAGUUAUAAAUGAAGCGGUCUGGAAAGGCCCGCCAAAGACGGUAACAGCCCGGUAGUUGAAAUGGCUUUCCCUCCAGAGUGGAUCCUGAGUACGGCGGAACACGUGAAAUUCCGUCGGAAUCCGGGAGGACCAUCUCCCAAGGCUAAAUACUCCCUAGUGACCGAUAGUGAACCAGUACCGUGAGGGAAAGGUGAAAAGCACCCCGGAAGGGGAGUGAAACAGUUCCUGAAACCGUGUGCCUACAAGUAGUUAGAGCCCGUUAAUGGGUGAUAGCGUGCCUUUUGUAGAAUGAACCGGCGAGUUACGAUUUGUUGCAAGGUUAAGCGGAAAAAGCGGAGCCGUAGCGAAAGCGAGUCUGAAUAGGGCGCAUAAGUAACAGGUCGUAGACCCGAAACCAGGUGAUCUACCCAUGUCCAGGAUGAAGGUAAGGUAAUACUUACUGGAGGUCCGAACCCACGCACGUUGAAAAGUGCGGGGAUGAGGUGUGGGUAGCGGAGAAAUUCCAAUCGAACUUGGAGAUAGCUGGUUCUCUCCGAAAUAGCUUUAGGGCUAGCCUCGAGGUAAAGAGUCAUGGAGGUAGAGCACUGUUUGGACUAGGGGCCCUUCUCGGGUUACCGAAUUCAGAUAAACUCCGAAUGCCAUGUACUUAUACUCGGGAGUCAGACUGCGAGUGAUAAGAUCCGUAGUCGAAAGGGAAACAGCCCAGACCACCAGUUAAGGUCCCCAAAUAUAUGUUAAGUGGAAAAGGAUGUGGGGUUGCUUAGACAACCAGGAUGUUGGCUUAGAAGCAGCCACCAUUGAAAGAGUGCGUAAUAGCUCACUGGUCGAGUGACCCCGCGCCGAAAAUGUACCGGGGCUAAACAUAUUACCGAAACUGUGGAUGAACCUCUUUAGAGGUUCGUGGUAGGAGAGCGUUCUAAGGGCGGUGAAGUCAGACCGGAAGGACUGGUGGAGCGCUUAGAAGUGAGAAUGCCGGUAUGAGUAGCGAAAGAAGGGUGAGAAUCCCUUCCACCGAAUAUCUAAGGUUUCCUGAGGAAGGCUCGUCCGCUCAGGGUUAGUCGGGACCUAAGCCGAGGCCGAUAGGCGUAGGCGAUGGACAACAGGUAGAGAUUCCUGUACCAGUGCUAAUUGUUUAACCGAUGGGGUGACACAGAAGGAUAGGGAAUCGCACGAAUGGAAAUGUGCGUCCAAGCAGUGAGUGUGAGAAGUAGGCAAAUCCGCUUCUCGCGAAGCAUGAGCUGUGAUGGGGAAGGAAAUUAAGUACGGAAGUUCCUGAUUUCACGCUGUCAAGAAAAGCCUCUAGGAAGAGUAGUACUGCCCGUACCGCAAACCGACACAGGUAGAUGAGGAGAGAAUCCUAAGGUGAGCGAGAGAACUCUCGUUAAGGAACUCGGCAAAAUGACCCCGUAACUUCGGGAGAAGGGGUGCUCUAUUAGGGUGCAAGCCCGAGAGAGCCGCAGUGAAUAGGCCCAGGCGACUGUUUAGCAAAAACACAGGUCUCUGCAAAACCGUAAGGUGACGUAUAGGGGCUGACGCCUGCCCGGUGCUGGAAGGUUAAGAGGAGUGCUUAGCUUCGGCGAAGGUACGAAUUGAAGCCCCAGUAAACGGCGGCCGUAACUAUAACGGUCCUAAGGUAGCGAAAUUCCUUGUCGGGUAAGUUCCGACCCGCACGAAAGGCGCAACGAUCUGGGCACUGUCUCAACGAGAGACUCGGUGAAAUUAUAGUACCUGUGAAGAUGCAGGUUACCCGCGACAGGACGGAAAGACCCCGUGGAGCUUUACUGCAACCUGAUAUGGAAUGUUUGUACCGCUUGUACAGGAUAGGUAGGAGCCGAAGAGACGUGUGCGCUAGCAUACGAGGAGGCAAUGGUGGGAUACUACCCUGGCUGUAUGACCAUUCUAACCCGCCACGCUUAGCGCGUGGGGAGACAGUGUCAGGUGGGCAGUUUGACUGGGGCGGUCGCCUCCUAAAGAG